rnacentral:rRNA from 1 species
UACGGAGGGCGCAAGCGUUACUCGGAAUCACUGGGCGUAAAGGGCGCGUAGGCGGCCUAGCAAGUCUGGUGUGAAAGACCAGGGCUCAACCCUGGAAGGGCACUGGAAACUGUUAGGCUUGAGUUCCGGAGAGGAGGGGGGAAUUCCCGGUGUAGCGGUGAAAUGCGUAGAUAUCGGGAGGAAUACCGGUGGCGAAGGCGCCCCUCUGGACGGAAACUGACGCUGAGGCUCGAAAGCGUGGGGAGCAAACAGG